AUAUAAGAUGCCUGAUUAAAGGAUAAUUUUGAUAGAAUUAUUAAUGUGUGCCCCACUCUUAUAA
rnacentral:tRNA from 1 species